rnacentral:rRNA from 1 species
GAUGAACGCUGGCGGCGUGCCUAAUACAUGCAAGUCGGGCGAACGGACGAGAAGCUUGCUUCUCUGAUGUUAGCGGCGGACGGGUGAGUAACACGUGGAUAACCUACCUAUAAGGCUGGGAUAACUUCGGGAAACCGGAGCUAAUACCGGAUAAUAUUUUGAACCGCAUGGUUCAAAAGUGAAAGACGGUCUUGCUGUCACUUAUAGAUGGAUCCGCGCUGCAUUAGCUAGUUGGUAAGGUAACGGCUUACCAAGGCAACGAUGCAUAGCCGACCUGAGAGGGUGAUCGGCCACACUGGAACUGAGACACGGUCCAGACUCCUACGGGAGGCAGCAGUAGGGAAUCUUCCGCAAUGGGCGAAAGCCUGACGGAGCAACGCCGCGUGAGUGAUGAAGGUCUUCGGAUCGUAAAACUCUGUUAUUAGGGAAGAACAUAUGUGUAAGUAACUGUGCACAUCUUGACGGUACCUAAUCAGAAAGCCACGGCUAACUACGUG